CGAAAAUAAAUUGUUGGCUAUCUCCGCCAUUUCAAAAAUUAUAUAUCUUAAGUUGCAAGGAUUGUUCAUGGACAAAAUUAAUUUUUCACAAUCAAAAUUAAAAAUUGAAGGACAAAAAGUAAUAUCAAAGGCCAACUCCCUUUUGUUGAAUUUCGAAAUUACCAUGGUUCUGAGCUGUUCAGCCUACCGGACCUGCCAAUGCUCUACCAUGAAUUGUCGAGUAACUUCAGUGAUGUGGGGCUUACAUUAUGGUCAAAAAAUAUCAAAAUUGAAUUAUCUAUCAGAUUCUGUGCCUUUUGUUGCCUUUUAAAGGUUGGAAACUGUGUUUAGUUGAUGUUCAAUACAUAACCACCAUUGCUGUCCAUGGUCACCCUGUUCCACUAUAUGUAAUGAUUCUCAAAAACUAGAUCGAUGUGGGGUCUAAAUAUUUCACUAAAAUUAACAGAAUCGCUUACAUUAUAAUAUAUUAAAAUGUCAAAACGUAAGAAACGCGGGAACUUUAAAAGAUUUACGUCUAAUUCUAAAACUUUGAAUUUUGAAUACAAAACAGUUCUGGACGAAAACAUAGCUAGAUGGUGAACUAGUCAUUGUUGGGCUCACAAAGACCCUUUAUUGAAAUAAAAAUUCAAUUUUCUCCCAAAAUAUGUAUGAUUUAUUGCAGUUUAAGAAUCAAAAGAUGCAUUAUUUUGGUCUGGUAUGCGUUGGCUUCCUUGCCGCCUAAGGUCACACGGCUUGUUUCUGGCAGUGGUUCUGGAGACAGCGUGUCGAUCCAGCUGUAGAACGUCAUCCGGAGGUGGCAGAGUGUGCUGGCCAGCCACGCGGCGCGCGUAUCGACAUUGACCAGAAACUAUCACAUCAUCUCCAGGUCACUGGUCGAGGGCGCUCGAGCUGACGGUGUCUUCCGACGGCUCCACGGUGACCAGCGCCGCCACCGCCGAGACCAUCCGACUCCUGAAAUGCUAACGGCCGUGCACGAACAAGAGGCUCUAAGCAUCCAGGUGCAAGGCAAGCGCCAUGCUCAGAGGUGUCAUCCGAAGAAGGCCGCACAGUGCACUUUAGGGUGAGCUCGGGUGUAGUGCGCGCCGACGGAUAGGAUGAAAUGACGGGCCGGCCAUCAGAUUUCAGUGCGGGGAUCAAGGUGGUCGGAGCCGAUGUGGCUCGGUUGAUGGUGUGGCAGGGACCAGGGUUGAUUGAGAGUGAAAGCGAGACACCCGGAUCUGUAAAGAAUACGCCGAUACGGGUCUCGAACGUCGUCCCGCAAUUUGUGCUCUGUAAUAUGACGGCUAUGCCGUGGUAUCAUUCACUCUCGGUGCGCUAAUAAAUAAUUAAUAGGACAGAGGCUGGAAUUAAGAUAUUAUAUUUGGAUGUAAGGGGCAGGUUUGGGCCAGCGCUAUUUUAGAAAUCGUGAGCGUGCUAGUUGCAAUCAAUCGUGCGCUUCUUGUUGAGCAUCUGGAGCGAGAAAAUACUUUCUUUGGAACUUAGCAGUUCGUCGUGAAAUAUUUGUAUCUUUGGAGUCAGUUGUCAGAACAUGAAUGCAUUUUUGGUGUCCACUGCAGCUGCUGUUCUGGAACAGAAACAUGCCGAGAUCGGCUGUGUUUGUAUGUUGUGGCAAAAUCAAGCAGCCGUACCAUGAAUCAAAAGCGAUAUGUGAAUUAAAGUGAAUAUAUUUCACUAUUUUUCAGUUUUAUCAUACAGAUCACAGAAAUGCGUCAAAUACUGA
rnacentral:lncRNA from 1 species